rnacentral:rRNA from 1 species
GACGAACGCUGGCGGCGUGCUUAACACAUGCAAGUCGAACGGAAAGGCCCUGCUUGCCGGGUGCUCGAGUGGCGAACGGGUGAGUAACACGUGGGUGAUCUGCCCCUUAUUUUGGCAUAAGCCUGGGAAACUGGGUCUAAUACUGGAUAGGACCAUGCUGUAGGUGGUGUGGUGGAAAGAUUAGUUUCGGUAAGGGAUGAGCUCGCGGCCUAUCAGCUUGUUGGUGGGGUAAUGGCCUACCAAGGCGUCGACGGGUAGCCGGCCUGAGAGGGUGGACGGCCACAUUGGGACUGAGAUACGGCCCAGACUCCUACGGGAGGCAGCAGUGGGGAAUAUUGCACAAUGGGCGCAAGCCUGAUGCAGCGACGCCGCGUGGGGGAUGACGGCCUUCGGGUUGUAAACUCCUUUCAGCCAUGACGAAGCCCUUGUGGUGACGGUAGUGGUAGAAGAAGCACCGGCUAACUACGU